rnacentral:rRNA from 3 species
UGCUGGAGGUAUCAGAAGUGCGAAUGCUGACAUAAGUAACGAUAAAGCGGGUGAAAAGCCCGCUCGCCGGAAGACCAAGGGUUCCUGUCCAACGUUAAUCGGGGCAGGGUGAGUCGACCCCUAAGGCGAGGCCGAAAGGCGUAGUCGAUGGGAAACGGGUUAAUAUUCCCGUACUUGGUGUUACUGCGAAGGGGGGACGGAGAAGGCUAUGUUGGCCGGGCGACGGUUGUCCCGGUUUAAGCGUGUAGGUGUGUGUUCCAGGUAAAUCCGGUUCACUUUAACACUGAGGCGUGACGACGAGGCACUACGGUGCUGAAGCAACAAAUGCCCUGCUUCCAGGAAAAGCCUCUAAGCAUCAGGUAACAUCAAAUCGUACCCCAAACCGACACAGGUGGUCAGGUAGAGAAUACCAAGGCGCUUGAGAGAACUCGGGUGAAGGAACUAGGCAAAAUGGUGCCGUAACUUCGGGAGAAGGCACGCUGACA